AGAGAACAUUUUCGAAUGCUGAGCCAGUUUGACUGAAAGAAAAGACAGAAACAAGAUUUGGGGGCAGAAUGCAAGUUGGUUUCAAAGGUCUUGGGUGUAAGAAGGUGACAACUUGCAAUUAACUGUGAUCAGACUGUGUGACUGUAGAUUAGUGUUUUCCUCCUGGUCCAUGUGGGAAAUCAAGCCCAGUAUCAACAUCUAAUGUCACAAGUGUUUUUGAGUUACUGUGAAGAUGAUAUCAGAAUUGGGGUUCAGUUCACCUUCUUGCAUGUCUAACUUUAUGGAAUAAUUAGGCCAUGGGAUGUAUAGAAUCUAGUCCAUAUGUAAAUAUGUGAGCACUUAUUCUAUAUGGGAAUAAAUUUUGCUUACUAUCUUGAGUUGAAUUAUUUCUUACAUGAAUAAUGUUUUUCCGCAGGACUUUGACAGGUACAAAGAUAAGCAGCAUACCUAAUAAUUUGUGUCAAGAACAAAAGAUGCUUAGGACUUUGGACUUGUCUUACAAUAAUAUAAGAGACCUUCCAAGUUUUAAUGGUUGCCAUGCUCUGGAAGAAAU
rnacentral:lncRNA from 1 species